rnacentral:rRNA from 1 species
AGAGUUUGAUCCUGGCUCAGGACGAACGCUGGCGGCGUGCCUAAUACAUGCAAGUAGAACGCUGACUACUUUAGCUUGCUAGAGUAGAAGGAGUUGCGAACGGGUGAGUAACGCGUAGGUAACCUGCCUACUAGCGGGGGAUAACUAUUGGAAACGAUAGCUAAUACCGCAUAACAGUGUUUAACACAUGUUAGAUGCUUGAAAGAUGCAAUUGCAUCACUAGUAGAUGGACCUGCGUUGUAUUAGCUAGUUGGUGGGGUAACGGCCCACCAAGGCGACGAUACAUAGCCGACCUGAGAGGGUGAUCGGCCACACUGGGACUGAGACACGGCCCAGACUCCUACGGGAGGCAGCAG